rnacentral:rRNA from 1 species
AUUGAACGCUGGCGGCGUGCUUAACACAUGCAAGUCGAACGGAGUGGCGAACGGGUGAGUAACACGUGGGUGACCUGCCCUGCAAUUCGGGAUAAGCCUGGGAAACUGGGUCUAAUACCGGAUAGUGUGGGAUGUGCCGGCGGCCUCUCAGCUUGUUGGUGGGGUAAUGGCAUACCAAGGCGGCGACGGGUAGCCGGCCUGAGAGGGUGGACGGCCACAUUGGGACUGAGACACGGCCCAGACUCCUACGGGAGGCAGCAGUGGGGAAUAUUGCACAAUGGGCGGAAGCCUGAUGCAGCGACGCCGCGUGGGGGAUGAUGGCCUUCGGGUUGUAAACUCCUUUCACCAUCGACGCGGUAGAUGGAGAAGAAGCACCGGCUAACUACGUGCCAGCCGCCGCGGUAAUUC